CUAACAUUUAUUUUUGAGACAUAAUAGAACUUUACUUUAAAAAAAAUAAAAUCUCCAAAACAAACCAUAACAGGUGUAUACACAAUAUUAUACAUUGAAUAAGUUAAUAUGAGGUGUGUUACACAAUGCAGUAAUUCAUGUUCACAAGAAAGGUCAGUUAACAUUCGGAUGCAUGACUGAAUGGCAAUAAUGUGGAUUUUCUGACUGUUAUAAGGCUGGUGGGAAGAAGAAUGUUGCUGGCUUUGAUAUGCCACUAGUUACUAUUAAUAUAUUGUACAAUACAAUACAUACAUAAGGCAGAUAUGUCCACCCAAUCCUAACAAAGCUGAAAGCUUUAAGGUUAUGGCUGCUUUAACUGUGAAGCAUCAGGCAUCACCAGCAAUGGUUCUGUAUAUGGAACACAACAUACUAGCUCUAACAUCCUUAAAAGGAACACUACAUUUAAAAAAAAAAUUGAGUUUCUUAAACUAUUUACAUUACUGCUUCCCCAUUUUAGCACUCAAAGGGUUAAAUGACACUCUCAUAUUUAUUCCAGUGCUGGGAAAGUCUCCACACUGCAGCUCCAAUCCGCCUCCUGUGAAGUCAUCAAUACAUAGGACUGUAUCAAUCAGAUCCUUCUGACAGGGAAACAUACCAAUGCUUCUCACAGAACUUUAAAAUUUAAGCUUCUCCACGAGAACCACUCACUUCUGUUCUGAACAGUUCCAGUCGAGAAAGGCAGGAAAUACUCUGAAUUGUCUGCUUUAAAGCAGACCAGUGUUACCUAGGAGAUUGUUAAUUUUUCUUUAUUGACACUACUUUCAUUUUAUUGCAUUUAUUAAAG